UAAUAAAAAUACUUGUUUGUUCAGUUAUAACAUAUUUAAUUUGAAAAAUAAUUUAUUAUUUAAGUAAAUUUUAAUAAAAUAAUUGUAAAUUACUAUAGUGUAUUAGUACAGUGAUGGAAUGUAAAUAAAAAUUUAUAAAUAUAGAAUGUUUAAAAUACUAUACCUUGUGUAUUAGGGAAAUUUAAUAUAAAUUAAUAAACUUAAGUAUCUCGAAAUAAAAACAGCUAGAUUUAUAGUAUUGUGCUUGUAGAAUAAAGCUUUAAAAUAUAAAUCUAAAGAUGAUAUGUUAUCAGAGUUUUAUUAUAUCUAGUUUUUUUGGAAUAAAAUUUAAUUUUUAUUUUAAAUAUAAUAAAUUUAAAAUUUAAUUAUAGGAGGGAGUAGCUUCUUAUAAAACUAUAAUUAAGAGUUUUAUAAAUAAAAUUGUUUAAAACUAGGCUUAAAAGCAGCCAUGUUAAAAAAGUGUUACGGCUUAUUAAUAACAAACUACUAUUUAUGAAUAACUUUGAAUAAAUACGAAAACUUUCUACAAACUAAAAACGUGUGAGCGAUAAUAAAUUUAUUAGUACAAUAUAAUGUAAAAAAUUAAAAUAUAAUAACUAAAGUAAUAAAUUGAUUAUAAUUUUGAAAUAUAAAGGAACUCGGCAAAUUAUUUUCUUGCCUGUUUAUCAAAAACAUGUCUAUUUGAAGAUAUAAAAAGUCUAAUCUGCCCACUGAAAUAAUAAUUAAAGGGCCGCAGUAUUUUGACUGUGCAAAGGUAGCAUAAUCGUUUGGUUUUUAA
rnacentral:rRNA from 1 species